rnacentral:rRNA from 1 species
UACGUAGGGUGCAAGCGUUAUCCGGAAUUAUUGGGCGUAAAGAGCUCGUAGGCGGUUUGUCGCGUCUGCUGUGAAAACUGGAGGCUCAACCUCCAGCCUGCAGUGGGUACGGGCAGACUAGAGUGCGGUAGGGGAGAUUGGAGUUCCUGGUGUAGCGGUGGAAUGCGCAGAUAUCAGGAGGAACACCGAUGGCGAAGGCAGAUCUCUGGGCCGUAACUGACGCUGAGGAGCGAAAGCGUGGGGAGCGAACAGG